UUUGCCUACGGGGGGCAGCAGUGGGGAAUAUUGCACAAUGGGGGGAACCCUGAUGCAGCGACGCCGCGUGGGUGAGGAAGUACUUCGGUAUGUAAAGCCCUAUCAGCAGGGAAGAAAAUGACGGUACCUGACUAAGAAGCCCCGGCUAACUACGUGCCAGCAGCCGCGGUAAUACGUAGGGGGCAAGCGUUAUCCGGAUUUACUGGGUGUAAAGGUAGCGCAGACGGCAGCGCAAGUCUGGAGUGAAAGCCCGGGGCCCAACCCCGGAACUGCUCUGGAAACUGUGCGGCUAGAGUACUGGAGGG
rnacentral:rRNA from 1 species